CCUACGGGUGACAGCAGUGAGGAAUAUUGGUCAAUGGACGAGAGUCUGAACCAGCCAAGUAGCGUGAAGGAUGACUGCCCUAUGGGUUGUAAACUUCUUUUAUAUGGGAAUAAAAUGUUCCACGUGUGGGAUUUUGUAUGUACCAUAUGAAUAAGGAUCGGCUAACUCCGUGCCAGCAGCCGCGGUAAUACGGAGGAUCCGAGCGUUAUCCGGAUUUAUUGGGUUUAAAGGGAGCGUAGGUGGGUUGUUAAGUCAGUUGUGAAAGUUUGCGGCUCAACCGUAAAAGUGCAGUUGAAACUGGCAGUCUUGAGUACGGUAGAGGUGGGCGGAAUGCGUGGUGUAGCGGUGAGAUGCUUAGAUAUCACGAAGAACUCCGAUUGCGAAGGCAGCUCACUGGACUGCAACUGACACUGAGGCUCGAAAGUGUGGGUAUCGAACAGGAUUAGAUACCCCUGUAGUC
rnacentral:rRNA from 1 species